rnacentral:rRNA from 1 species
UACGUAGGGACCGAGCGUUGUCCGGAUUCAUUGGGCGUAAAGAGCUCGUAGGCGGUUCGUCGCGUCGGCUGUGAAAUCCCGAGGCUCAACCUCGGGUCUGCAGUCGAUACGGGCGGACUGGAGUUCGGCAGGGGAGACUGGAAUUCCUGGUGUAGCGGUGAAAUGCGCAGAUAUCAGGAGGAACACCGGUGGCGAAGGCGGGUCUCUGGGCCGAUACUGACGCUGAGGAGCGAAAGCGUGGGGAGCGAACAGG